rnacentral:rRNA from 1 species
AUUGAACGCUGGCGGCAUGCUUUACACAUGCAAGUCGAACGGUAACAGGCCUUCGGGUGCUGACGAGUGGCGAACGGGUGAGUAAUGCAUCGGAACGUACCCAGAGGUGGGGGAUAACGCAGCGAAAGCUGUGCUAAUACCGCAUGUGAUCUGAGGAUGAAAGCGGGGGACCGAGCAGCAAUGCUUGGCCUCGCGCCUUUGGAGCGGCCGAUGUCGGAUUAGCUAGUUGGUGGGGUAAAGGCCUACCAAGGCGACGAUCCGUAGCUGGUCUGAGAGGACGACCAGCCACACUGUGACUGAGACACGGCCCAGACUCCUACGGGAGGCAGCAGUGGGGAAUUUUGGACAAUGGGCGCAAGCCUGAUCCAGCAAUGCCGCGUGCGGGAAGAAGGCCUUCGGGUUGUAAACCGCUUUUGGCAGGAACGAAACGGUGUCCGCUAAUACCGGGCGCUAAUGACGGUACCUGCAGAAUAAGCACCGGCUAACUACGUG